AAUUAAGUUGUUUAUGUUUUAAAAUGUGUAAUGCUAUAAAAUGUUUGAUAAUCCAUCUCAACAUCAACAACAACAAAAAAAAAAUCUCCAGAGGCAUACUAAGUAUAAAAAAGAUAUUAAAAGCAAAAUAUGUUAAGUCCAUCUUGGACAUGAGUCUAAAUUUCUUCUCAUGUUGUGUACAGGACCCAGCAUAGUGUAAAAUCAUGACACUUGCAUCAUGCUUAAAGAAUGUUAAUGUGAUGUUUUUCUUGGACAAAUGUCGCCCCCUGGUGUAAUAAUGAUGACUAUACGCUGUAAGCCAACAUAAAUAUUUUGACAAGUUCAUUUACUAUUAAGAGGGAAAAUGCAGCUGGAAAGACAGUGAAGCUUUCUUAUUUUAUUUUAUUUUUUUAAUAUAUAUUAAAAGUUGUAUAGGCCUGUUAUUUUGUCAUUAUAGUCCUAGUCCAUAUACAUUAAAUAUAUCAUAUUAAUAAAUCAUAUAUAUUAUUACCGAUGUAAAGGUAAUUUUGAGACAUUUGACAGGAAAAGCACAAAACAGAAAGGGACCCAUGACUGUCAAAACUGUUUUUGUUCUUAAAUAUAUUUUAAUAUUUUUAUGAAAAUGCAUGUGCUAAUCAUGUUCACACUAACAUAACAUAUAUAACAUAUAACAUAUAUAUAUAUAUUUUAUUAUUAUUAUUAUUAUUAUUUUAUGUUUUGACACAGUCUAACGGGGCCAUUUCUGUUUUGUGCUUUUCCUGUCAGAUGAGAAAAAAUAUAUAUCAAAAUGACAUUUACAUCAGAAAUGAAAAACAUCAUCAUGUUUGCAGCCAGUAUGACUUUCACCUACAGAGUGGAAACGCCUUUUUUCUUGCAGGGGGCAUUGUGUGGUCACGUUCGAUGACAGGACACUCAAAUAGGUCGCACGAUUUUAACAGCACGUUUCACAACAAAACGUAGCGCCAAAGGAAAUGCCUCUUCUAACAAUCCUAAUAACCCAGCAGUCGCGAAACAUGUCAAUACGGCUCUGCGACAUGUGAUUCGCUCGAGUGUUUGUAAACAUGCGUCAAAAGCAUGUGAUUCUGCUGACGACAUACUGCGUUCUGGAAGGACAGCCAAUCAGAAAGCGGGGGUGUGUGAGCUGGGCGGGGCCUCGCUGUAGCACUGUGGAACAUUCUACGCGCUCGGCAACAAGACGCUUCUGAUUGAAAAAUGCAGUUCAAGCCAAUAUCAUCCAUCGUUUGACAUCUCUAAGAGACAGAAUAACUCGACGACACGUUUGUUCAGUGAUUUCAGGAUGAAGAGCGACUGCAACAUUUUAAAGGUAAGUAUGCACGUAUGAGCAAACAUCUUUAGAUUAUUUUUGUAUAGAUUUUCGA